GAUGAACGCUGGCGGCGUGCCUAAUACAUGCAAGUCGAGCGAACAGACGAGGAGCUUGCUCCUCUGACGUUAGCGGCUGACGGGUGAGUAACACGUGGAUAACCUACCUAUAAGACUGGUAUAACUUCGGGAAACCGGAGCGAAUACCGGGUAAUAUAUUGAACCGCAUGGGUCAAGAGUGAAAUACGGUUUUGCUGUCACUUAUAGAGGUAUACGCGCCGCAUUAGCUAGUUGGGAAGGUAACGGCUUACCAAGGCGACGAUGCGUAGCCGACAUGAGCGGGUGAUCCGCCACCCUGGAACUGAGACACGGUCCAGACGCCUACGGGAGGCCGCAGUAGGGAAUCUUACGCAAUGGGGGAAAGCGUGACGUAGCAACGCCGCGUGAGUGAUGAAGGUCUUCGGAUCGGAAAACUCUGUUAUUAGGGAAGAACAAAUGUGUAAGUAACUAUGCACGUCUUGACGGUACCUAAUCAGAAAGCCACGGCUAACUACGUG
rnacentral:rRNA from 1 species